GACGAACGCUGGCGGCGUGCCUAAUACAUGCAAGUCGAACGAGAGCGACCGGUGCUUGCACUGGUCAAUCUAGUGGCGAACGGGUGAGUAACACGUGGGCAACCUGCCCAUCAGAGGGGGAUAACAUCCGGAAACGGAUGCUAAAACCGCAUAGGUCUUCGAACCGCAUGGUUUGAAGAGGAGAAGAGGCGCAAGCUUCUGCUUAUGGCUGGACCCGCGGUGCAUGAGCUAGUUUGUGAGGUAACGGCUUACCAAGGCCGUGAUGCAUAGCCGACCUGACGGCGUGAUCGGACAGAUUGGGACUGAGACACGGCACAAACUCCUACGGGAGGCAGCAGUAGGGAAUCUUCCGCAAUGGACGCAAGUCUGACGGAGCAACGCCGCGUGAAUGCAGAAGGUUUUCGGAUCGUAAAACGCUGUUGUUAGAGAAGAACAAGUGCUAGAGUAACUGGUAGCGUCUUGACGGUAUCUAACCAGAAAGCCACGGCUAACUACGUG
rnacentral:rRNA from 1 species